GGAACAAUGUGUCAUCUUCAGAAGUGUCUUUGUGAGCUGAAACACUGCCAUCAUUCACAGAGAGCAACAUGUUUUGUAUGCUGUGGAUCAUCUUUCAGACGAUGGCUCUCCUGGUGGAAGCUGGAGGACAGUCUUCAGGUAGUGGUGAGGCUGGUGGUGGCAAUGGAGGAGUUGUGAAUGGAGGCAUGGUCGGAAACGCUGUUAACCCAGGGGUUAUGAAUGGGCUUGUCUUAAAUGGGCAACCCUUUCUGGCUCAGGUGGUACCAGUUGGUGGAUCAUUACUUAUUCAAC